GUAACUAUCUUUUUAUUUUUCGUUUUUGUCUAAAUUAUAUUGAAAUGUUUCAUUAUUGGAAACAUUUUAAGAGGAACUUAUUAUUGUUAACAUCUUAACAGAUACUCUGACCCGUAACUCUCGUAAAACGCUUCGACCGGAAGUAGACACCUUUCGCGCAUGCGGGGUACUUAUCGGGUUUCCGGUACGGAUCGGGCAGUGACACUGCUUAUACGCGAAACGGGAGUAAACCAUUGAACUUAGAGGAGAGAGACGAACUAAAGUAUCGAUCAUAUACCACUACCAACGUUUGGAUCGAUAUCUGCAUCGAUCUGCCCAGCAGUAAAAUAUCUCCACACGAUUCUCCUCCAUCUGGGCUUUCCCCCAUCUCUGUAGUCCAAAUGUAGUUUCAAAGUCACGUGACCGCACAGCAACGAUUUAAAGCAGACCAGGCAGAAGGGGGCGGAGCAAAGUAGCAGAGUAGUCGAGCAGAAAGAGCUGCUUUUUUCAUGAAGCGGGAGUGAAGUAGUGACCUUAGAGGAAAGAAAAAAACUGAAGUAUCGAUCAUAUACCACUACCAACGUUUGGAUCGAUACGUGCAUCGAUCUGCCCACCCUUGUCUCCUGGAUCGUAGCUGAGAUCAGCGUGAACCACGUGGGUCUCUGCUCCCUGAUCUGUUUCCUGUGUUUGGAAAGAGUUCCAGCUUCAUCACGGAGUUUCUCUCGGUUUGUGGGCUCAUCUAAAGAUCGUCAUACUAAGGCUGUGUCCCAAUUCAGGGUCUGCACGCUUGAAGUACGCAUUUCAAGUGCGAUUACGUCACCGCCACGCGACGACGGCUGUCCCAAUUCAAAGUGCACUUCAAAUGCAUACUCCAAAUGCGCCGUCGAUUUCCCCAAAUAUCAAGCGUGGUCCGGUGCACGCUUCGUGGCCCCAUAUAUCCCACAAUCCAUAGCGCGGCGGUGGGUGUGGAUAAUUUUGCCGCAAAAUACGGCAGAAGGGAGCGGCCGAAGAGUGAACUGUCAAAACUUAUCACACAUUUGAUUUCCAUGUGUGACGACUGCAAGUGUCCAGAGUGAGGACAGACUGAGGGACCCACUGCUGCACAUCAUCUGUGAGGCUUUGCACCCCUGAUGAUCCACCAGGACAAACUCAGCAGUGUGUGAGGAAGAGGAGGAGGAAGAGCCAGCAGCAGCUGACAGAUGGAGAGAAUAGACAGACUGUUCCCUGUUUGUGAAGGACUGCUAGGAAAGUUUAACAUAACUAAUUGUCUGUCCUGAAUCAGUCUUAUUAGGUAAUGUUCAAAUAAUGCUAUCAUCCCAGUGUUUUCAGUGUGGGAGAAAGUACUCAGGGCUUUCAAGUUACACACUAUGAAAGGCAGCAACAAGUUUAAUAUCCAGAAACCUAAAGUAUGUAUCAGCAGCAGAAUGGAGCUAAAAAUAAAUGUUUGUUUCAGUUCUAUGAAGCUUUGAGUAUUUUGGAUUAGUAGCACUGCUGUGUUUGUUGCAUCAUAUUGCUGUAAUUGUUUAUAUGCUUUAUAUAUUCUGAGGUAAGUUGAUCUAUAGUGUUACAUCAUAUUCUAUAAGGAUGUUAUGUGUUUGUAGACUUUCUGCCCAGUUUGACCCAUUUAGCAGAAGUCAGCCUGUUUAAGGCUCUGAUAUCUAUUCUGUAUGACUUAAAGCAGUUAUGACAUGGUCUGAUUUUCUCACCCAAUAAAGGAAUAUUUCAUAUAUCAGUCUGAUCUUCAUUCUAUCAGAAACAGUUAUCACAACUCGUACAUUUUCUUUUUACACAUAUAUGUAAGCAUUGAGCCAAAUUUAGUAAUGCCAAC
ensembl:lncRNA